rnacentral:lncRNA from 1 species
GCAGUUUCAUCUUCACUCUUGGAUGCCUCCCUGUCUUCCUACUGUUCCAGAGCCCAUGCCAUUUCUGAGAUCCUCUGAGCUGUCCUUGUGGCUUCCAUGCAGAAAAAGAAAAACGACAUCCAAAGAGGGUAUGCGACUGUGUCGAGUUCAACAGAAGAAUGAGGACUGCACAAUUCCAUCUAGUUCCUGUUUGAAAGCUCUUUUGUCCACAUGACCAUUUCCCUUAUGGACUCUCCUUCUACUUUUGUGGGAUUGUUUUUCUAAUUAGAAAAUUCAUUUUAGCAGUAUUCUUAUCAUUCCAAAAGUUAAUUACCCGUGCACUGUGGCAUGAGCUUCAUAUCUGUUGAAUUUCUUCACCUUUAAUAAAGAUCAUUAAAAGGGAA